rnacentral:rRNA from 1 species
UGCUAUAAUGCAGUCGAGCGGACAGAAGGGAGCUUGCUCCCGGAUGUUAGCGGCGGACGGGUGAGUAACACGUGGGUAACCUGCCUGUAAGACUGGGAUAACUCCGGGAAACCGGAGCUAAUACCGGAUAGUUCCUUGAACCGCAUGGUUCAAGGAUGAAAGACGGUUUCGGCUGUCACUUACAGAUGGACCCGCGGCGCAUUAGCUAGUUGGUGAGGUAACGGCUCACCAAGGCGACGAUGCGUAGCCGACCUGAGAGGGUGAUCGGCCACACUGGGACUGAGACACGGCCCAGACUCCUACGGGAGGCAGCAGUAGGGAAUCUUCCGCAAUGGACGAAAGUCUGACGGAGCAACGCCGCGUGAGUGAUGAAGGUUUUCGGAUCGUAAAGCUCUGUUGUUAGGGAAGAACAAGUGCAAGAGUAACUGCUUGCACCUUGACGGUACCUAACCAGAAAGCCACGGCUAACUACGUGCCAGCAGCCGCGGUAAUACGUAGGUGGCAAGCGUUGUCCGGAAUUAUUGGGCGUAAAGGGCUCGCAGGCGGUUUCUUAAGUCUGAUGUGAAAGCCCCCGGCUCAACCGGGGAGGGUCAUUGGAAACUGGGAAACUUGAGUGCAGAAGAGGAGAGUGGAAUUCCACGUGUAGCGGUGAAAUGCGUAGAGAUGUGGAGGAACACCAGUGGCGAAGGCGACUCUCUGGUCUGUAACUGACGCUGAGGAGCGAAAGCGUGGGGAGCGAACAGGAUUAGAUACCCUGGUAGUCCACGCCGUAAACGAUGAGUGCUAA